AAGAACGCCCCGUUUUUUGAAAUGGGUAAUUCCCAAACCGUGUCUAUAUAUAUACCUUUGUUGCUUUGGCAGGUCGCCUUCUAGGAGGCGUCGGCUCCGGCUGACUGCGCCUGCCAGAGGACCCAAACUCGUUUAUCAGUGAUGUCUGAGUACUAUAUAAUAGUUA
rnacentral:misc_RNA from 1 species